rnacentral:lncRNA from 1 species
AGCAGUUAAAAGAUAGAACGGUCAAGUCAAGCGCCAUGUCUCUUAUUCUUGAUCAGCUAUAGCUCUGGAGUUUUUGCAGAUUUUCAAAUAAAACUCAGAGAUUCCUUGUAUGAUUCUCUCAAAUCUCUCUUUUGUGGUAUUUUUGGAUCCUUACCAAGGCAGUGAUGGUAUAUGCCUUCUCUCAAGAUAUGUAGUAUUUGUGGUAUGAAGCAUAGUGACAUUGUCUUCUCUCUCACCCUACUCUAAUAGGACUUUAAUAUCUGGAGCUCAUAGGUGGGAGAUAAAGUAUACAUACUUACAAGACAUUUAUUGCAUAGUCAAACCAUGGAUCCAAAGAAACAAAUCAAUAAGCCAAAUCAAGAUGUGCAUGUGUGGCGAAUGAAUGGUGUAUGGUGAUGAUGGUGAUAACAAUGGUGGUGGAAGUCUAUUUCUACUUUGCUCUUUGAGAGGAUACAUACCUUCCUUGCUUUUGAAACUUUAUGAGGAGAAUGAGAUGCUCUUCUUUUUCUUUUCUUUCGAGGUUCCGAGCACUUGCUCCUUUUUAUUUCCUCGUAUCUUUUAUUUUCUUUUUCUCUCUUUUUUUUCAGAGCAUUCAUCUCUUGAGAUAAUAUAGCAAGUGGUAGUAACAAGAUAACUUGAGCAUUUAUUUCACAAGGGGAAACAAAAAUAUUUUUGGUUAUUCUCUUCCGGAUUAGGAGUAGAAUAUUUUUAGGUGAUUCUGGAGAUGGAAAUGAGUGGAUAUAUGUGGAUGGUACUUCCGGAGUAGAAGUAGCAUAUAUGAGUGGACGUGCAAGUGAAAUCUUGAUUUAACCACAUGACAAGCUCCUAAGGGUCUACACAGCUUGACCACACUCAAUGCUCAUAAGCAGUAAAUAAUAAAUGUGUGGCUCAAGGUCUAGCAAGCAUGUAUAUAUGGCUGUGGUAGGAAUUUAAACUCUCAUCAUACAGGAACUCAUCAUGCAACAUUUUAAAGAUUUUCAAAGAUAAAAUUCUCCAGAAUUCUAGCAUCUCUAGGAACAGAUAAACAGCAGCUCAACCUUCCCAUAUCGUAUCCGUUAACAACUUAGACUUCAGAUCAAGUUUUCAUCCCACAAGUUUAGGUCUAGAGCAAGCCUUAAAUUAUAACAGUCAUAUCUAAACUUGAGAGAGAACUUCAAAUUUGCAAAUUAGGCAGAGCAACUAUUCAUCAUAUCCAUGCUUAAGUUUUAUUAGAUACAGAUUAGCAUGGCCACUUUAUUUAUUUAUUAAACACACUAAGCAAAAUAUAUAUAAGCAUAAAAUCUUUAUUUGGUUUUUCAUAGUUAUGUGUAUUUAUAUUCUAAUAUAGUAUAAGUAUAAAGAUAGAUAGAAAUACUUAUCGACAUAAAUGGGGGUGCUCUCCCCCAAGCUGAAUUUUGACGUAAUUUCUCUUGAUGUAGCUAGCAGGUGGCAGAGGUGUGUUUGAAAGUCAGCAGUAUUUUGACAGCGAUUAGAAUGUCCUCCGUCUGCUAGUCUUCUUGAUUCUUAAAUUCUGUGGAGCUCAAAUAGACAACAAAGCUUGUGGAACUGAUUAAGUGUUAGCAUAAAUAUCUAGCCUUUAUCAUGUUGAGACUCCUUAAUAAAUAUUACUCCCUGUUUUUAUAUUUUUGUUUUUAUAAAGCAGAAAAAUAUUUAUUUUAUUUUUAUGCCACCACAAUUAAUGUACUUAUGGGUUUUAUGCCACUCGUCUACUCACAUGGGGCUUACAGUUUUUUUUUCUUCACAUUUUUAUUUUCUUUCUAGGAUAAUACGAACAUGAUUAACUAAGUAAACUAUUUGAAAUAAUUAAAAGGGAAAGGAUAACUACCAAGUUUACCUCCUGGCAAGGCGUUCGGUGUUUAUAAGUCCUCCGAACAGGACUCUCCAUUUUCUUAAUCGUCCUGAGGUUCGUUGGGUGGCGUAGUCGGUACUUCUGGCAGCGCCUCCUCUUCAUUUAUAGUUAUCUUCAUUUUCCAUACCUGACUCGGUGUUACGGUCUCCUCAGGACAGUUCUGUUCAAGUUGUAUCACUUCUCCUUCGUAGUCUACCCAUCCGUCCUUGAUGAUUUGCCUCCUCUGGUUGCGGUUGCGUUGUCUUCUUCUUGUCCUGACCUGCUUAGAAUCUUCAACUAUAUAGUUAGAAUCAUUAAAGUAGUGGCGUACCUUCUCAGAGGGGAAGUGCAUGUGGACUUCUCCGGUUCCAAUAUAGAUAAUGGCUUUGAUAGUGCUGAGGAACGGUUUUUCAAGGAUGGUGGAUGGAUCAUACUCGUCUUCUCCCAUGUCAAUGACCUGAAAUUGUCUGAAGCUGAAUGUGUCUUGGUUGUAGGAGCAUGGUUCCAUGCAGGAGCUGAUAAGUGACUGCGGCCAUUAUGUUGUCGUUAGAUCCGAUGUCGUAGAGUGUCUUCUGAAAAGAGUAUCCGUUGAUUGUGCACUCGAUGCUUGGAACACCAGGGUUGUCCUUCUUGAUCAGGAAUGGCGACUUGAGUCGACGAUCUUGACCUCUUUGAACUGCAGUGACCAUCUUAGCUGACUCAGUCCACAUUUGCUUGUUCCUGUUCCUCCUGUUGGUCCUCUUCCUUGGUUCAUGUCGGAUUUGCUCUGAAGCUUGUGUAGUCUUGUUCUUGAAGGAAACUCUCCUUCUUCCCCUUGAUGUAGAGACUGAUCUUGGCAGCAUUAGCGUAGAUGACUGCUCUGGUGUUUAGGAAUGGCCUCCCUAAGAUGAUGGGUGCUCUCUCCUCACUACCAGUCUCUAUCACCACGAAGUUUGCUGGAGUGUACAAGGUACCAACUCGGACACAGAGGUUCUUCAAUAUUCCUUUGGGAAACUAAGUGUCUGAUCUUCAUUGUGUUUGUGCUUGUAGAUCCCGGUUCUUCACUGGAUGGAAUCUGGGAGUUGUAAAACGCCUUCACGUUUCUCAAAAUGUGUCCUGCUCAUAGAGACAAGGCAGAGAUCAAGUGCAUGGGCCCUGUUGGUGGAAAACACCAACAGAACCAAAAGUGUAUUUGUUCUUCUCUAACCUUAAGCAUAGUGAGCAAGACAAAGUUGAUGGAUCAUGAGUGUAGUAUUUAAAACAUUUGUUAGAUCAGAUGGCUCAAUCUAAUGGAAAGAUAAUCUAUCUAUAUUUAUGUUUUGUUUAUAUCUUCCAAAGAUUGAAUGUGCAAUACUUUAGCUUAUAUGAUUAGGAGUGUGGGAUCACGAAGGUAGUACUAAGAACAAAGAUUAAAGGACUAAACAUGUUGAAUUAAUUGGGUUGAUUAAUUUGGAGCUACAAAUCAUACAUGUUUGUCUCUUUAUUUUAUGUGAACGCUAGAACCAAGGAGAAGCUUAUAAAAGUGAUAGUCAAGUACCUUAAAAUGUUACCUUACUUGAAGAGUGACGGUACAGUAUCACCUUGUGGAAGCUUUCCUUUCUUAGCGGUUGUGCAUCGUGUUUGUGGCACCCUCCAUGGAUCAUCUCUUUAUGAUGAAUGAGCUAUGUCCUUCUUGUGCAAAAUGUUAAACUUCAUGUGUCUCCUUUAUCUCCAAUGAGUUUGUAUCUCAGGACUUCCCAGGUUGAUAUUGAAAGUUUUCCUGCAGGGGUUAGUCCAACAAAAUAUCCCAUAUCUACUAUAGCAUACUAUCGGCUCAAAAAUCAACCUAGACACCAUGUCUAAUUUGAUUUAGGAGGGCAUUUUAACCUAAGCACCAUGCUUAAUUUAAAAAUCCUUUGGAAGUAAGAUCAUCAUUCCUAAACUAAGCACCAUGCUUGAUUUAAGAGAUAAAUGAAACUACUCCAAACCUAGACAUAUACUAAAGCAAAUAAAGGUAGCAUGAGAGCAUUUAUAGCGAUCUACUCAAGUGGAGGUGAAGUAGUGUAAUUAGUACUUAACAAAUUGAGCAUCUCUCAAAGGUAGGGACAACCAACGUAGCAGCAUGGCAAAGGAUGUUUUUAUGUAAAGUACUCCCCCAAGCUUGAAUUUUGCAAAAUUCAAGUUUGGAUGAAUUUAAUUCAAUGUUGUGUGAUGGUUGGUUGGACAUACCUUGUGCUUGUCAUUCAUCCGAUCUUCUUGCUCCAAUCCUGGAAAGGUUAGUGACAAGAAUACCCGAAGGAAUAUUUCUACAAUUAUCUUUAUAUGCUCAAUACACAAGGCAAUGUUGCAAAUAAUUAGAAGUGCUUGUUUUAGGACACUAAGCUUGUCCUUUGGAAACCAUCAAUUAACUCAACGAGAUCUGCAAUAUUUAUUAUAGACAUAUGCAUCGACAACCGCUCUUUUAAAGUUUUUAUAAAUAGAAAAGAAGAGAGGGUUGGAGAUCUCAAAUGUGAUAAGGAUGGAGAGACUAAUUGAUUGGAGAGAUGUUUUAUAUGAACAAGGACUUGAUGAGGUAUUUAUGAAAUAAUUUCCAUGCUCACUGUUGUUUCUCUCAUUCUCAAACUCCAAGGAUGAUUCUUCAUGAAUGCUUAAAAUUCGUCUAGGAUUGUCUCUCAAGUUUGUUUUAUCUAUCCAUUCAAUGGUGAUAGCACAUGGAUUUUUAAUGCCCUCUAGCCAUUGAUGUUGCUCUUCUCGAUCCUCCUUCUUAUGCAUGGGAUGUCUAGAGAGAUUCAUAGGAUUAUCGGGAGGUUCAAGAGAAAGAGCAUAGUAGAAAUUAUUAAGCUCAAGGAUGGGAUGGAUAGCCGAAUCAUGGGAUUGAAAUGUUUGGAAAUUGGCUAUUGAAACUUCCUUUCCUCGUCUGGGAGAUGAUUCCUUCUCUAUCUCUAUGAUUUUUCUAUGAAGACUAGUACAAGAAGGAUGUUCACGCAUGAAGACAUACCUUCCUUUACUAAUAGAUAAAGAAAUAAAGACUCUACCAAUGGUUAUAUAAUUAAGACCAAUGUGAAAAUAUCUAGGAAAAACAUGGUCUUGUAGGGCUAGGUCUAAACCAGAAUUUAUAGAAAGAUUAACAGAUUCUCUAGGUGUAGCUAAAAGUGCAUUAUCUUUUUGAUUAAAAGAUAGGACCUCAGCUAUAGAAAAGGGUUGGUUUUGACCUAUUGCAAUCAACUCCGGACACAGAUCAUAAUUAGGGGCAGAACGUGUUGACUCCCAUGGUCUAUGGCUGGUCUCCGAAGGUGCAAAGAAUUUAAUAAUAGAUAUGGAAUUUGAGUUAUCCAUAAAGAUAAAAAGAUAAAAGAAUAAAAGUAUAAAAGUAUAAUACAAGAUAAUAGCAAGACUCAAAGUUAUCUCAGCAAACCGUCUUUCUCCCCGGCAACGGCGCGAGAAAUGCUUGUUGAUAUUUGGUAACGCAAUAAGGAAAUGAUCCGCAAGCGCACGGAUAUCGGUGAGCAUUUCACCCGGGAGGUUAUCCAGAGUUAUCGUAUUUAUAUUUUUACCACUGGGAGAAAGGGUGCAUCUGACUAACCAAAUCUAUUGCUACUACCCCUUUAGGCUACAAAGAAUGUCUCUCGAUGUGAGUGAUGUAUAGAGAAGACUGCAACCGUAGUCUCGUUCUAACCUUGGUAAGGAUGAUCUACUGUUCUAUUGGGGAGGCUCACGGAAUCUAGACAACACAAAGGAUGUUCGACCCGCACCUAUAACCCUACCCGUCCUGCUAACGAGAUGUGAUCUGCAAAGGUAACUCGGAAUUGUCACGUUCCUUGCUACUACCACGGUCCAGCUAGUCAGGGGAUAUCUAUGAGUACCCUAGCCUAAACACCACGUUUACGCUAACAAGUGAUUACUCUAAUACUCAACCGGAAGAGGAUUAAAGUAAACUCAUAAACCAAAGAACAAUAAAACAAGAACUUACUAGUAUUAGAAGUCGAAUUACUGAAGAAUCUUAGAAGCAAGCCUCGGGUUUGGAGACUUGAUCUCGUAGGUACAACUCGGAGUAGACACCGACAGGCCAGCCUUCCUCCGAUCCACACCUCCACUCUAUCUCUCUCAAUCUAGUAGAAACUAGAAGAUCUAUUUCUACUUUACAUUGGUUGCUAAGCCUAAAAAGAAAUAUUAUUUAGAGAAGAGGUUUUCCUUCGAGGGCACCCCUCAAUCUCUAUGAUAAUUUCUUGUCUCCUCCAGGGGCCAAAGGGGGUCUCCUUAUAUAGUCCUCCCCUUCUAUGCAUUUUUGGGUCGAUAGGCGAGGUGGUACUAUGUUAUUCUGGAUCCAAUAGGUCGGUGGAACGUCGUGUGUGAAGAGAGUCCGGAACGGGGUCCAGAGGUGGGCGGGCGCCCAGGUCCUCAGGGCGGGCGCCCUGGGCCUGGCCCCUUUCGGGCUCCGCUUCCUUCCCGUGGCUUCUGGAGUCUUCUAGAUGGUAGAAAAUUGCGCGGUGGGUUGAUAUCUCUAUGUAAUCCCGACAUGUGGUCCUUUCUUCCUUAUUUCCUGAUAACCCCCUGCAGAAAUAGACAAACACCAAAACAAACUCGUGGAAUUCUGUCAGAUAAAACCCUAAGUCUAGAUGUUGAUUUCAUUUGGAUCCUUUUCUUUGUUUAUUUGAUAAUUAAAUUUGAUACUUAAGGACCGUCAACAAUUGCCUUCCCUCAUAAACUCCAUUUCAUUUUCAUACCUAUCUAGGAGGGUUGUUCCUACUAUAAAUAUUCCCUACCUCUAAGCUAUUAGCAACCUUUGAUCAUUUGAUAAACUACAUGAUAGUGCAACCACACUGUUGAGUGCCUUACUCAACCUUUGUUCUUCCUUGUUUUUCUUGGACAUGUGAAGUGAUUCCUCUAGAAUCCCCUACUUUGUGCUCUACGGUUACCGUUCAGUUGCACCAUAUUGUGUGGAUUUGUUCUGGAUUGUGGUUCUGUGGUUGUUCUAGAUUGUGGAUUAAUCAAAGUCUUCGCGGUUUUGGUGCCUCUCUCCCCAUCGCUUGGUCGCAUCCAACCUUUGUCAGGUAUAAAGCUAGUUAUCCUCUGUUUGCAGUAAGUUAUCUUUAUUCUUUCAAUCUACUGUCGUGAAGAUCGGGGCCACCCUCGUGUCGAUUCAUAUCGGUACCUAUCAAUUGGUAUUAAAGCUUUUAUUGUCACGGUAGGUCUCACAAUCAUCCACAUAUCUACCUUUAGUUAUCUAUCAUUUGUCACUAAUUUAUUCAUCACCUAUAGUACACUGAAAAAGCCACAAAAAAUCUUAUAGCCCUUUGAUGGUACUAUUAUCUUGUGUUUUUUGUGUUCAUCAUGUUGCUAGUCACCAUCAUAUAUUGUGUUGUGUUUCAUUUGUUACUACACCCCUGUUAGUGUACAAAAAAUAGAAAAAAAUCAGAGAAAAGAAAAUAAGAAGAAAAGAAAGAUGCAAAAGAGAAGAAAAAGAAGAGGAAAGGGGUUGUAUUGCGGUUUGCUCACUGAAAAAAUCAGUUUACAUAUUCAGAUUCUUGGUGAUUUAUAUACCAGCAACAUUAUAUCUUUUGAGUACAUCAAACCACUUGAUUUUUAGUACUGUAGCCUCCCUUGUUUAGCCACCUAUAGCUCCACAAAUAAAUGAAACUGGGACAUUCGACUCGUAAUCCUUGCAACCAUAGAAUCACUUCUGUUGAGCUACUACAUUAGCAUAAUUCACUGUCCUUCAGAAUAGGAAAGAGCAUUGGUAAGUAAGAGAUGAGGUUGUGUGAUUCCAUAAAUUUACCCAUUUCACUAUAUUUUGCAUUAGUACUAACAUGUCAGGAUCCAAUUCAAGUAUUCGUGGUGAUCGUCAUUGAGAAAAAGAACCCCAUGUUGCACGGGUUGAGUUGCACCGAAUGGCAGACUCACUCUUUUUUUUGAAAGAACAGUAGGGUAAUCCCCUACCUAUUUUUUUGUAUUUCAAUUAAAUGAAAGAAUGUUCUGUACAAACAAAGAAAAAAAGAAUGAAAAGGAAAAGUAUAGGGCAACCAGGCCCAAAAGGAAAAGUACAACAAAGCUAUGGACGAAAAUUAUCUUGCCAGAGGGCUAAAGCAAAACAUAGUUUCUCAUUGGCCUUGAUGCACACCAGGUCCAAUUCUUCUUUGAAUUUUCUUCUCCAAAUGGGGACACUACACUGUCCAUUAUCAAAGACUAUGGAGUUUCUUAGAGUCCAUAUUGCCCAACAAGCAGUGAUAACUAAUUCUCUGAAGAUAUGGCUUCCAAAUUGAUCUCUAGCAUUCACCAUCAUAUCCAGUGGAGGCAAGUUAAGAUUCCAUCUAAUUGUGACGGAGCUCCAGCAAGCUUGACUGAAGUUGCAUUCAGACUCUUGCAGGCCAUAGAGAGGAUGCUUGAUGCACGCAUACCUGCAUAUAGGCGGAGGGCUCCUCGGCAUCAAUAUGACGAAUCUGGUGGUGAAAAUUCUGAUGCAGAGCAUGAUCAUUUCAGAGAUGGUCAUCAUGGCCAAGAUGGAGGAUGAGCUCAUGGGCGUGGUUGUGGCCAUCGUGUCUGUUUUGAUGAUGAAGAAUUUGAUGACUUUGAUCAAGAAGAGGGGUCUGAUGAGAAUCCCUUUGCAAAUAAAGGGCUGCAUGGGUGGUUCCAUGAUCAUCGGCAACAUGCUGAUCAUGGAGAUAGGCCUGAGCAUCAUCAUGGUCGCCGUAAUAGGGAAGACCCGAACAACAUUGCUUGUGUCAAGCUGAGUAUCCAAAAAAUCACUAGAAUAGAGGAUGCAGAUGCAUAUCUUGAGUGGGCUGAGACGUGUGAUCAUAUUUUCAGAGUGCACAAUCUCUCUAAUCAGAGGCAUGUCAACUUGCUUCAGUGGUGUUCUCUAGUUAUGCUCUGACUUGGUGGAAUCAGAUAUAGGAGAAUCAACUUAUGUUGGGCUGUGAAUAUAUCAACACAUGGGAAGGGAUGAAGCAAGUGAUGAGAAGGCGAUUUGUACCAUCAAGCUAUCAGCGUGACCUUCGCAAUAGGUUGCAAAUGUUGAAGCAAGGAAAAAGAUCGAUUGAUGAGUAUUAUAAGGAGAUGGAGCUGCUAUUAGUGCGGGCUGGAAUUAGAGAGGAUCCAGAGUAAAAAAUGGCAAGAUUUUUGGGUGGUCUCAAUGAGGAAAUUGCUGAUUUUGUUGAGAUGUUUCCAUACCAUACUUUGCAAGACCUUGUUGAUCAAUCUAUGCGCACUGAAAGAAAAAAUUCAGCAAGAGAUAUGUGGAAAAUCUUAUGCAAGUCAUUCUAUUACAGCCCCGUAGCGCAAGCAGUAGUCUGGCACUUCUUUUGGUGGGGGACGAUCCCAAGGUGUUGCAACUAGGCCCUCUUCAUCUAAUGCUCCUUCGAAGAUGGUGGUUUCUAUUGCAUCUUCUCCUGCAAAUCAGCAGCGACCUGCUCCAAGUGCAGCAGCCCCAACUAUUGUUUCUUCAGCUGCUACUUCCUUUGUACGUAGCAAAGAAAUUGUGUGUCACAAGUGCCAUGGUCGUGGACAUGUUGCAGCACAAUGUCCUAGUACGAGGACCAUGAUUGUGAAUGAGAAUGGUGAAUGGGAAUCUAAAAGUGAUCGUGAGGAAGAAGGUCCAAAAUAUGAUGAGGAUCAUGAAAGCAAUGAUAAUGAGAUCCAACCUGAUGAAGGUGAUAACAACUACUUUAUUUCUCUUUAUGUGCUUAGUGUUACUGCUACAAAAGAAGAUAAUAGGCAGCAGCACAAUCUUUUCUACACUCGAGGCAUGAUCAAAGAAAAGUUGUGUAGAAUUAUUGUUGACAAUGGCAGCUGCAACAACAUUAUCAGCCAAGAAUUGGUUGAUAGAAUAGAGCUAAAACAAAGGUGUCAUCCUAAUCCAUACAAAAUGUGUAUGGUGUGCUGCGUAUGAACCAUGUUGUGAUAGUUCCUUUCUCUAUUAGGAGGUAUAAUGAUCAUGUGGAUUGUGAUGUGGUGCCUAUGCAAGCAUACCAACUGCUGCUAGUAAGACCAUGGUUAUAUGAUCAUGAGUUCAGAUCUUUGGAAGAACCAACAAGCUGGCUUUCAUGUACAAAGGAGAGAAAAUUUCUUUGCUCCCUUUGUCACCAGAGAAAAUUUUGAUGGUUGAUCUAAAAAGAAAACAGUGAGAGAGCGAGAACCACAUGCGAGUGACCCACAAAAAUAGUGAGGGAGUGUUUCCAAAGCCAAAAAAACCCCACAGCCGCAAAGAACCAAGAUAAUGGGAAAAGAGGGAUUAGUUAUGAUGGCUACGAAGGAGAAUUUAAAAAGAAUUGAAUGAACCUAAUGCCACAUUCUUUGAACUCCUAUAUAAGGAAAAUUUCCUUUCCACUAACGACUUAUCCUCUACUUUGCCAAGUAUUGUUUUUAAUGUGCUACAGGAAUAUGAGCAUAUCUUUCCAGAGGAGGUACCACCGGGGCUGCCACCUAAGAGAGGAAUUGAACAUCAAAUUGACCUUGUUCCCGGUGCUUCACUUCUAAACUGAGCUGCAUACCGCACCAAUCCAGAGGAAACAAAAGAAAUUUAGCAACAAGUGGAAGAAUUGAUGAGAAAAGGAUAUGUGCAAGAAAGUCUUUCAUCUUGUGCAGUCCAUGUUCUUUUAGUUCCUAUGAAAGAUGGUUCAUGGAGAAUGUGUGUUGAUUGUAGAGCUAUUAAUAACAUUUUCCUAGACUUGAUGAUAUACUUGAUGAACUUAGUGGUACAAUAGAGAAUGUGUGUUGAUUGUAGAGCAAGUUUGUUGUGGUUUACUUUGAUGAUAUAUUAAUUUACAGCAAGUCUCUUGAUGAACAUGUUGAACAUAUCCAAAGUGUGCUUGUUGUCCUACUUGACAAAAAAUUGUAUGCUAACCUUGAUAAGUGCACAGUUUGCACCGACAAGGUAGGCUUUCUUGGCAUGUUGUUUCAAGUCAAGGUGUGGAGGUGGAUGAGGAAAAGAUCAAAGAUGUUCGUGAGUGGGUGCCUCCACAAAAUGUGAGUCAAGUGUGCAGCUUUGUUGGACUCGCUGGUUUCUACUGGCAAUUUGUGAAAGAUUUUAGCACCAUUGCUGCUCCAAUCAAUGAGUUGACAAAGAAAGAAGUGCUUUUAAAUGGGGAGAAGCACAAGAGAAGGCAUUUGAAGAACUGAAAAUGAAAUUGACAACAACCCCACUUCUUGCACUUCUAGAUUUUGGUAAGACAUUUGAAAUUGAAUGUGAUGCAAGUGGUGUAGGAAUUGGAGGCGUGAUCAUGCAAGAAAGGAGGUCGAUUGCAUACUUCAGUGAAAAGCUAAGUGGCCCAACUCUAACUUACUUAGUUUAUAAUAAAGAAUUAUAUGCUCUUGUUACAAGUUUGGAAACUUGGCAACACUACCUUUUGCCUUAAGAAUUUGUGAUACAUUCAGACCAUGAAUCUUUGAAACAUCUUAAAGGUCAAUUAAAACUAAACCGAAUACAUGCAAAAUGGAGUGAAUUCAUUGAGUGUUGUCAAGUACAAGAAAGGGAAGGAUAACAUUGUAGCUGAUGCUUUGUCUCGACGUCAUACUUUGCUUUCACAACUUGAUACUAAAAUUCUUGGAUUAGAAAGUAUAAAAGAAUUAUAUGCCAAUGAUUCAUAUUUUGUUGAACCAUAUUCCAAGUGUUGUGGUGGCAAGGGAUGGGAAAAGUUCCAUUUGCAUGAUGUGUUUUUGUUUUGAGCUAAUAAACUCUGCAUUCUAGAUUGCUCUGUUCGCAUUUUGCUGGUGCAGGAAGCUCAUGCGGGAGGACUUUUGGGCCAUUUUGGUGAAAAAAAUCAGAACAAGUGCUGACUAAUCAUUUCUUUUGACCUAAGAUGAGAAAAGAUGUGGAGAGGCAUGUUCUUCACUACAAAACCUGCCACAAAGCUAAGUCCCAUUUGAAACCUCAUGGUUUAUACACUCCUCUACCUAUUCCUAGUGUAACUUAGGAGGACAUUUCUAUGGACUUUAUUCUUGGUUUACCAUGGAUCAAGAGGGGAAGGGAUUCCAUAUUUGUUGUGGUUGAUAGGUUUAGCAAAAUGGCACACUUUAUUCUCUGUCAUAAGAGCAAUGAUGCUUCACACAUUGUUGUAUUGUUUUUCACAGAAAUUGUGCGUCUACAUGGAGUGCCACGUAUCAUCGUGUCUGAUCGUGACACUAAGUUUUUGAGCCACUUUUGGAAAACCUUGUGGGGAAAACUAGGAAUAAGGCUGCUAUUCUGCACAACGUGUCAUCCUCAAACUAAAGGACAAACUAAAGUUGUGAACGGUACACUGUCAACAUUGCUGUGAGCUGUCCUAAAGAAGAAUGUGAAAUUAUGGGAAGAAAGCUUGCCUCAUGUGGAGUUUGCAUAUAGCAGGGCGGUACAUUCGAUGACAAAUUUUUUCCAUUUGAGAUUGUCUAUAGGUUCAAACCUACUGCUUCCAUCGAUCUUUUGCCUUUGCCUAUGUAGGAACGUGUGAACUUUAAUGCAUGCAAGCAAGCAGAAUUUGUCAAUAAGCUUCAUGAUCGAGCUAAAGAAAACAUUGAGAAGAUGACCAAGCUAAAUGAGAAGCACACCAACAAGGGUCGUAAGAAGAUGUUAUUUGAACCAGGAGAUUUGGUUUGGGUGCACUUGCACAAGGAUCUCUUUCCUGAACAAUGCAAGAGCAAGUUGUAACCCUGAGCUGAUGGUCCAUUCAAAGUGAUUUGCAAGAUCAAUGAUAAUGCAUAUGAAAUUGAUCUCCCAAGUACAUAUCAUGUGAGUACAAGCUUCAACAUCACCGAUUUAUCUCCUUUCUUUGAAUUGGAAGAGUCAAGGAAGACUCCUUUUUAAGAGGGGGAGGAUGAUGAGGACAUCCCAUCUAUGCACGCUCGUUUAAGUCCAAAUGCUACUGUUUGUAUAAAUUAAUUGCACUCCUUUAAAUAACAUUUAAGUAAGAUUAUCUGCAAGCGCACAGAUAUCGUACCAAUGUCAAAUUUUACCCGGAGGUUUUAAAUAUCAUAUCCACAGGGAACAGUUGUGAUGAUGACAAAGUCUAUAGACCUAACCCAACAAUUAGGCAAGAUAAAUAUCGAGAAAGAGGAAAUAGCUAAUGACUUCUAGUUUUGACAACCAGUAAGCUUUGUAUAAUAUUGUUCUAACUGGCAAUAACCUAAUAGGAGAAGAAACAGAGUAAUCUCCUAUCGACACUUCUGGGGCGCCUAUCAAUCCUAUCAACGGGAAGUGGACUACAGAACGCAGUUGUCACCUAGGCGGACUACCACUAUGUGGCUAAUCAGGGGACAUCCACAAGGAAACCUAGCCUAGGCACCACGCCUACGCUACGGAAUACAACUUUAACCUACACGGUCCUAUAGAUCAAAGUACUCAAUACGAGUUGCAAACUUAAGAACGAACAAGAACAAAGGGCGAGGGAGCCGAACCCUGAAGAAUACAGCAAAGAAGCGCCGACUUACGGGAACUCCUCCAGAACUCCUCUACUCUAUCUCUCUAUUAGUCUCUUCUAAUUGCUACACCUAUCUUUUAAUCUCUGGAGAAGAGAGGUUAUCCAUUCAAGCGACACCUCUACAACUCAUAAUAAUGGUGCACUCCAAUAUGAGGGUCUAUCUCUUUAUUUAUAGCCUAGAAAAGCCUCCCACCUCUUCUGAACAAGCGAUGUGGGACUAAUUCUUCCAUCGUUUGCUCUGCUGGGCUAUUAUACAUCAACUUGGGUCUUCCAAUCAUCCCUCAUGUGAGCCCACUCAAAGGAGCAGCUUGGGGCGCCUCUCUUGGGCCUCUAUCAUGCCAUAUGAGCCUCUUCUCACGUCAUGGGCCUUGCUUGGGCGUGGGGCCUAUUAGUGGUAAUUCUUCUUUAUUUGUAAAAUUAAUAUCUUUUCACUCUGGACUUCAAAUAUAGCAAAUGAUAUGUCUGUUUCGAUUGUCUCGACGAGCCCGUCGCAAUGGUGUAGUCCAAAUCAUCAUUUGACAUACCUUUUAUUUGAUGGAAAAUUGCAUAUUCCUACAAAACAAGUGAGAACACCAAAACUCAUGAAACUCGUUAGAAUCAAAACCUACAACUAUGCUUUGUGAUUUAUUUUAUAUUAAGUUAUGCAAUAGUUGACGGUUAUAUUUGGUACUUAACGACCGUCAAUAGUACCCCCAAGCUUACCCUUUGCUAGUCCUUUAAAGCUAAACUUAGUUGUGGAUCAGGAGUUGCUGCAAUAUUUUCACUUUCAAUCAGGUACUCAUACCUUCAAACAAAAAUUCUUCUUUGAAUUUAGAAAAAAUAUAUCAUAUUAUUCAUCAUAGGGCUUAAUGCUCUUACCUUGGAUCUUGAGUAAUUGUAAGAUAGAACGAUCAAAUCAAGUACCAUGUCUCUAGUUAUUUCACUUCACCUUUUAUUCUAGAGUUUUCUUUCUUUUUUUUUUAAUUUUCAAAAGCUCAGAAACAUAUGUUGUGAAAUUAAACAAUGGAUCCAAAGAGAAACUCAACCAUACCAUUGAAUUGAGAGGUGCAUGUAUAUGGAAAAUGGAGUUCAACAUAUAUUUAUAUUUAUAUAUAUAUCACUCUCUUUUAUUAUUAAAGAUAUAUGACUAUAAGGCUAAUUCUACUACCGGCACGUGCCCAUUUUUUUAUAUUUAUUUUGAGGUUCCAGACACUUGUCCCUUUUUAUUUCCUCAUGAUCUAUCUUUUUAAGGUUUUGGGCACUUGUCCCUUUUUAUUUCUUGAGAUACUUUUCAUAGCUAUAUAUCCUCUAAUAAACUUUUGAGAGGAUAGCAAUAGAUAAUUGUGGUCAUUUAUGCGGCAAAUGAAUAGAAUGUAUAAAUGAUCUCAAUUCAAUAGCAUGAUAACUCCUCAUAGAGUCAACAAAGCUUAAUUUAACUUAAUGCAAUUAUUAGUCAUAUUAAUAUUGGUAAAUCUCCUGAACUCUAGUGUUGUUUUAGAACAAGAUAAUAGCAGCUCAGACCAUCACAUAUCAUAUCCACAAAUUACCUAGACUUUUAGAUUAAGCAUUUACAACCCAUGCAUUUAAUUUUAUUUUAAGGCAUAAUUAUUGAUUAGGAGAACUCGUGUUUGAAAGCUAGGUACUGAAAAGAAAUUACGAUAGAGCAACUAUUCAUCAUUUCCACUUUAAGAAAUUAGAGAGAGAGAGAGAGUUCUUCAAACAUAUUUUAAUUAUUUAAUCUAACAUACGCUAUAGCUUACUAAAAUAAAACCUUAAUCAUGAUGAUAACGGGGUGCGUCUCCCCCAAGCUAAUCCCUACGAUCGCGUCGAGCCUUCAUGUACCCGAAUAUUUUUAUGUUUUUCUUAAUUAAGGAUGAGCCUUCAUGUGCUCAUAUAUUUUUGGUAUUUUUAAAUUUUUCUAUGAUACUAUUGUGAACCUUCAUGUGCUCACAUAUUUUUUUGGUAUUUUAUGACUAUAUAAAAUAGACUCAAUAAUCGCCUAGGUAUAGUUACCUGAUAACUAGGGGAUGCUCCUCCCCAAGCUAGAUAUUUGCCAUCUUUGGUGUUCAUGAUCUUCAGAGUGAGCUAACGAGCAGCGGUUUUGGUGGGUGCCACCAAUAGACUCUCUCCUUAUCAUAAUAUUGUUCCUGCAUAGUUAUACUCUAACAAGAAAAACCAAAACUCGAGGGUUGAAUUUAAUAAAAGGUUAGGGGUCAGCCAAUAAGUGAUUAAUUGUUCUUUCAGUUGAUUUGAAUUGACAGAUUCUAGCAGAAUUCUAUUUUUAGGGUUUUCUAGUUUAAUUAUGUAGAAAUUAAAUAUGUGUGCAUGAUAUAUUGUUGUAUUUUUAUACCUCCACAGAGAAUAUUUACUCUAAUGGGGCUUAGGCUUUUUCAUAAUGCAAGAAAGUAAAUACAAAUGCUAUAAUUAUUAUUAUUCUUCUUUAUGCCACCACAAUAAAUAUUCCUACAGGGUUACCAUAAGUUUAUUCACGUGGGGCUUUUAAUAUUUUGUGAUGCAGUAAAUGAAGCAAUAAAGAUUUUUAUUUCUUUUUGAUAUGCAUAAAGAUGAAUAUGCUAAAGUAAAGAUAGAAAUACUAAUUAAUUAGAUAACUACUAUAUUACCUUACGACAAGGGUACGAAAUUUAAAGCUGACCGACAGGACUUCUUCUUCCACUCUUGUGUAUCUCUCCAUCUUAGAGAUAGAGGUCUUGAUAGUUGCAUACCUCUAGUGAUGGUGAUAUCACUGUUGUUCUUUAGUUUGGCCAACAGGUUGAAGUAGAGCUUUAAUAUUAGGAGCUGACAGCGUCAUGCUCAGUGUGCAUGUUCAUAGAACUUUCACUUGUAGAAUUAAUAAAAUUUGAUCAAAGUGUUGUCCUAUUUGCUAAACCAAGGUAGAGAUCAAGUGCAUAGGCUCUGCUAGUAAAAGAACACCAACAGAACCAAAUUUAUCCCUUUAUUUAUUUUUCUCUGUUCUUAGGCACAUUGAACAAGACAAAGUUGGUGUUGCAUGAUUUGUUUACUUAUGUCAUGAGUGAUAAGAUUAGAAGAUUAAGCAUUUAUAUUGUAUUUAAGUUCACAUGGCAGAAAAGAAUGAAAUUGCUUAACCAAUGGAAGGAUUGUCUAUCUCUAUAUAAAUUUUCACAUGAGUAUGACUAUCGUCUUCCCAAGAUUGAAUAUAAUGUUUUAACUUGUUUGGUUAAGACUGAAAUUAAGAGAACGGUGCCAUGAACAAUCUCAAAGAGCAAAGCAUGUGCACACCAGGAUCAAGAGAGGAGAGCAGUGACCACUUACCUUAGGAUAUUACCUUCAUUAUUAGUGCAUGAUGGCACUAAGUGAUGAAGGGUAGAUGACUGGUGGUCCAUUCCUUCUCUUGUAUCUUGAGUUGUUCAGGGACAUCUUUUCUCCUUUGUUGCAUUCAUUCUUUUGUUAUCUUUUGCUUCUUUGAUCUUUUUACUCUUUUCACUCCAUUCAUUAUUAUGCCUGCAACAGAUUAGUGGACAACACAUACCCGAAGGAGUAUACAACUUUUAAAUAUAGGUUUAAGCUUGUCUAGUAUUUUAUUUUGUUCUAUCUAUGCUAAUAAAAUAAUAGUACUGGUAUUGUUUUAGCAUAGAUCAUGUUUAAUACAGACAUGGCUUGAGGCAAAGUAACUUAUAGUUCUUUCAUCCAUGAUGAAUGAGUUGUAUCUUUUUCUAUAAAGUUAUUGAAGCCCGUCAUGCGUCCUAUUUUAUCUCUGAUUUGAAUUCAUCUCAUGACUUACCCACAUUAAAUUAAAAGUUUUCUGCAGGGGUUAGUCCAUAAAAUAUCUAAUGUCUACUACAGCAUAGUAUCAGUACAAAAAUCAACCUAGACACCACGUCUAAUUUAAUAUAGGAAGGCAUUCUAACCUAAGCACCAUGCUUAAUUCAAAAAGCCUUUGAAAGUAAGAUCAACACACCUCUUGGUUCGAAAAUCAAACUAAACACCUUGUCUAAUUAUGACUCAAGAAAGCAGUUUAAACUAAGCACCAUGCCUAAUUUAAAAGGUGUAUGAAAUUUCUCCAAACCUUAAGUAUACUAUAGCAAACAAUGGU